ensembl:lncRNA
AUGGCGGCCGCCGGCGGCCGGGGGCGGGGGUGGGGGUGGGGGCUGCGGCAGCAGCGGCAGCAGCAGCUCCGGCCUCGGCUCCGUCGGUCCGGCUCCGGCCUCAGCCGAGCACCAGCAGCACCACCUGCUGCCGCCGAGCCCGCGGCCUGCACUGGGGCGCGCGCGGGGGAGGGGCGCGUGCGCGGGAAAGGGCGCGUGCGCGUGCGCGGCUCGGAGCGCGCCCCCGCCGCGAGGAACCGCGCUCCCACCGCCCCGCGUCCGGGCUCCGGCCUCGGCCUCGGCUCCGGCCCGGUCGUCGAGCAGCCGCCUAGUCCCUCACCCCAGGAUGCCAGGCCCUCUCCUCCCCAACGCGCCCCCCGCGGUCUCGGACGCCAAGGCUUCGUUCUCACCCCGCCCCCACACUCCUGGCGACACUCGCUGCGUUCUCCCCGCCUCCCUUCCCUCCCCUUCCCUGACCUCAUUCGGAGCCGGCUUUCCCCUCCCCCUCCCCCGCCUCCCUACUGCCCUUCUUCUCUCCUCCUUCCCCUUCUCCCGUCCCUCUCCUUCUCUCCCUCUCUCCUUGUCCUCCUAUCUCUCCUCCCUCUCUCCUUUCCUUCUCUCCUCUCCCCUUCUUUCCCUUUCUCUUUCUUUUCCCUCCCCCUCCUCUCCCUCCCCUUCUGUCCCUCUCUCCUCUUCCUCUUUCCUUCUCCUCUCCUUCCCCUUGUCCUUCUCUUCCUCUCUCCUUGUCCUCCUUUCCCUCUCUUCUUGUCCUCCUCUCCAUCUCCCCUUCUCUUCUUUCCCUUCCCCUUCUGCUCUCCCUCCCCCCUCUCCCUCUCCUUCUCCUGUUCCUCUCUCCUCUUCCUCUUUCCUUCUCUCCCUCUCUCCUUGUCCUCCUCUCCUCUCUUCUCUACCAUUCUCCAUCUUUUUACCCUCCUCUUCUCUCCCUCUCCCUCUCUCCUUCUUUACCUCCCCUUUUUCUUUUCUCCCUCUCUGCUUGUCCUCCUAUCCAUCUCUUCUCUCCCUUUCCCCAUCUCUUUCCCUUCCCCUUUUGCUCUCCCUCGCUCCUUCUCCUUCUCUCCUUCCCUUUUUUCUCCUCUCCCCUUCUCUCUCUUUCUUUUUCUUUUCCCUCCCUCCUCUUCUCCUGUCCUCUCCUCUCCCUCUUUCCUUCUCUCCCACCCCUUUUCCUUCUCUCCCUCUCUCCUUUCCCCCCUUCUUUCUCUUCCUCUCUCCCUCCCCUUCUCCUCUCUCUCCUUUCCUUCUCUCCUUACCUUCUUUCCUGUCCCUCUCCCCUUCUCUUCUCCUCCUCUCCCCUUCUCUCCCUCCCCUUCUCUCCCUCCCCUUCUCUCCUCUCCUUCUCCCUCUCUCUUUUCCCCUUCUCUUCUCCCUUUCUUUCUUUCCCUUCACCUUUUCUCCCUCUCUCCUAUUCUCCCUUUCUCCUGUCUCUGCUCCCCUUCUCUCCCUCACCCUUUUCUCUCCUGUUUCCCUUCUUCCUCCUCUCUUUCUCUCCAUCCUUUCCCCCCUCCCCCUUUCUCCUUCACCCUUUUCUUUUUUUCUCUCUUCCUUCCCUCUCCCUUCCUGACUAGGGUAGAAUUCGGUCACCCCAAUGCCUUAGUUCAUAGGACCGUAGAAAAUCUGCAGGUUUUCUAG